GGCGUGCGGAGGCGCUGCGGGCCGGGGCGGCCCGGCCAGGCCCGGUUGGGCUCAGCUCAGCUCAGCCCGCGGCGGCUGCGGGUCGGGCUGGCCCGGCCGGUGAGGGAGAAGCAGAAGUUUUAACUAUCUUCCCAUGGCAUCUGACUUUUCGAGGAGGAGGAGAAUUCACUCAAGAGCAGAAGCAAUGAGGUACACAGUGGGGAAAAUGAAUCCAGCAGUCUAUCCUACCCUGUAUCUGCCUGAGAACAGAAAGAGACCUCAUACAAAGCCAGAAUGCAUCUGGAUUUGCAGCUCUUUUUAACCAUAUUAAGUCCUAUUCAGACUUAAUGUGAGACUGGCCCAAGCAAUGCUGAAGGAGGGAAGAGCAGUGUUGGAAGGCAGAAGCUAUUUCAAAACAGGAUUCUUCUUUUGUCUGUGACACCCAAAGAUGAAGACUUUAUAAACUUCAUUAGAUCCUGCCAUCAAUGACUGGACCUCCUUGAAGUCUUCUUACGAGUUACUGCCAAGAGGAGAAGGAUAACAAGAAGGAGAAGUGCUUAAGUGGUUUUAAUGACAGUUAAUUUCAUCUGUUUACCAAAUGACAGGUUGUUUUUUCCUCAAAACUCGGUUGUCAUGACAAGAUGCUUUUGGAAGUCAUCUUUGUAAAAUAAAACUGACACUUUUUAGGCUAUAAAGAACUGUUGUAUUUUUCUAUACAAUGUUGUCAUUAUGGUAAACCACUGGAAGGUCUUUAUUUUUGAAGUAAUUUAACUUGCAUACUUCAAUUAUUUAAAUGUCUGUUGAAUACCAUGUGAAAAGUUUCUUGCCAGAGUUCCUUUAUUCAAUGAAGUAGUUGUUCUUACAAUGCUCAAUUUAUUAUUGUCUAAAUUACUGUUGCCUUAGCCUCCUGCAAAAAUGUUUCUUUUUAGUAAUUCUUAAACAAAUAAGGAAUGAAUGAGGUUUUGUCCCUUUCGUGUUUUGAUCAGUGUAUUUUUCUUUGCAGUGAAAGAGUCUUCAGUUUUCAGAGUGACACUACUACAAAGAAAGCUGUGAAAGAAGGUGAAAAUAAGGUCUGAAGAGUGGAGAGAAGCUUUGUUUUUCAUUGCUGAAGGCUCACUGCCCUCUAAGUCUGCUGAUGCUCAUGCACAUGGACCAUCUCCUGCCUGCUAAUUAGGCCUCUCCAAAGUGCUCUCUAGAAACGUGCUGGAGAAGUUUUUUUUCAAAAAAACACCAUAAAUAAGGAAAUGGUACGUAUGUAACUAUUAUACACUGCUCAUUUGGCAGACUAUAAUUUAAUAGAACAACAAUGAUCAGACUAGUAUAUCAGUUAAUUUUCAAAACAUUUUAUUCCACACAAAUUAGCUCAGGUCCUGGAGGGCAAAAUGACAAGAGGUUACUCGUAUACUAUGUAUUUAAUUAAUUGAAAAAUGCUCAAAUUGCUUUUACAGUUGUUAUUAAAAAGUAGAAUCAGUGUUGCCAGUGCUCAACCAUAAUUAGAACCCUGGAGAAUUAAAUAUUUAGCAUUAGUAAUGUAACAGCACUUAGGACACAAAUUUCUAUUUUUGUAAUGAAAGCAAUACAGUGUAAGUGCAAAUGGCUGAAACGACAGCUGUGACAAGCAAACCAGCCUGGGAUAUUUCAAUAAGACACCUCGUCGGACAGCAAGUCUUACCGCAUUACUCGUUUGUAAGAGAGUUUAAAUCCCAAUAGCCAGGCUUUACACCCAGUAUUUAGAUUUCUAAUUACUCACAGGAUGAACGGCCGGGCAAAUGUCACGCUGCCAGCAGGGGAGGCGUGCGGUGUUUUCCCAAAUAACGCCGCAGAGGUGCGUGCUUUUGUCAGCUGGGCAGGGGCUGGGGAAGACAGGUCCCGGGGCUGCUGAGGGAGGAAAAGAGAUCUUGUUUGUUUUAAGUUUAAUUACAUUUUAAGCAUAAGUGCUUUCAGUGAUACAACAUGAAAAGUCGGAUAUUGGGCUCUAAUGAGUUGUAGUGGUAGAUGGCUGGAGACCCUGAGGGAUUCAUUCACUAAAUUAACUGGAUAAAAGUACUUGGUUUUGGCACGGUAGAUGGCUGAGCUGUGCUCAAA